rnacentral:rRNA from 1 species
GAUGAACGCUGGCGGCGUGCCUAAUGCAUGCAAGUCGAGCGAACAGACGAGGAGCUUGCUCCUCUGACGUUAGCGGCGGACGGGUGAGUAACACGUGGAUAACCUACCUAUAAGACUGGGAUAACUUCGGGAAACCGGAGCUAAUACCGGAUAAUAUAUUGAACCGCAUGGUUCAAUAGUGAAAGACGGUUUUGCUGUCACUUAUAGAUGGAUCCGCGCCGCAUUAGCUAGUUGGUAAGGUAACGGCUUACCAAGGCGACGAUGCGUAGCCGACCUGAGAGGGUGAUCGGCCACACUGGAACUGAGACACGGUCCAGACUCCUACGGGAGGCAGCAGUAGGGAAUCUUCCGCAAUGGGCGAAAGCUUGACGGAGCAACGCCGCGUGAGUGAUGAAGGUCUUCGGAUCGUAAAACUCUGUUAUUAGGGAAGAACAAAUGUGUAAGUAACUAUGCACGUCUUGACGGUACCUAAUCAGAAAGCCACGGCUAACUACGUG